UGGAGUGUAACUCAAUGGUAGAGUGCUUGCCCAGCAUACAUGAGGCCCUGGGUGUUCCAUUCCCAGCACUUCAA
rnacentral:tRNA from 1 species